GGCCGGGCCGAGUGCGCAGGCGCGGGCGGGCCCCGCCCCGGGAGCCGUGAAGCGCGGCGCGCGGCGGCGGGCGCGGAUCCCGCGGAAGGAAACGGCAACAUGAAUUCAUAGAUGAUGAGUAGGAUGCCAAAGCCAGAGAUGACAGUGCUCUUGAAGAAAUGCUGGGUAGAACAAAAAGAUGAUCAUGGGAACAGCAAUGGCAGUCAUGUAAAGAUCUUUUUACCGAAGAAGUUGCUCGAAUGUCUACCAAAAUGCUCAAGUUUACCCAAGGAGAGGCACCGCUGGAACACUAAUGAGGAAAUUGCAGCUUAUUUAAUAACGUUUGAAAAGCAUGAAGAAUGGCUAACAACUUCCCCUAAAACAAGACCGCAGAAUGGUUCUAUGAUCCUGUAUAAUAGGAAGAAGGUGAAGUACAGGAAAGAUGGGUAUUGCUGGAAAAAAAGGAAAGAUGGGAAAACCACCCGAGAGGAUCACAUGAAGCUGAAAGUCCAAGGAGUGGAGUGCUUGUACGGCUGUUACGUCCAUUCCUCCAUCAUCCCCACGUUUCACAGAAGGUGCUACUGGCUUCUUCAGAACCCAGACAUCGUGUUGGUGCACUACCUGAAUGUUCCUGCCAUUGAGGACUGUGGAAAACCCUGCGGCCCUAUCUUGUGCUCAAUAAAUACAGACAAGAAAGAAUGGGCAAAAUGGACAAAAGAGGAACUCAUUGGACAGCUCAAACCCAUGUUUCAUGGUAUUAAGUGGACGUGCAGCAAUGGAAACAGCAGUUCAGGGUUCUCAGUGGAGCAGCUGGUGCAGCAGAUCCUCGAUAGUCACCAGACCAAACCGCAGCCUCGGACACACAACUGUCUGUGCACUGGUACCUUGGGGGCAGGAAGCAGUGUGCAUCACAAGUGUAACAGUGCCAAACACCGCAUCAUAUCACCAAAGGUCGAACCAAGGACAGGUGGGUACAGCACUCAUUCAGAGGUACAAAAUAACGAUGUCUCUGAAGGCAAGAACGAGCACAGUCAUGGCAAGGCCUCCAGCCGGGAGAAGAGGAAUGGCAAAGUGGCAAAACCAGUGUUGCUCCAUCAAAACAGUACCGAGGUUUCUUCCACCAACCAGGUUGAAGUCCCUGACACAACCCAGAAUUCUCCUGUGUCCAUCAGCAGUGGAUUAAAUAGCGAUCCAGAUAUGGCGGAUAGCCCAGCAGUCACUGGCGUGUCCAGCAUGGCUGUAGCAUCAGUUAUGGGAAGCCUGUCACAAAGUGCCACAGUGUUUAUGUCAGAAGUCACCAGUGAGGCUGUGUACACCAUGUCACCCACCUCCGGCCCGAAUCAACACCUUCUGUCCUCAGAUGCGGCUGCACAAGGGCUGGUACUUGCUGUGAGUUCUGAUGGACACAAAUUUGCUUUUCCAACAACAGCCAGUUCAGAGAGCUUGUCCAUGCUACCCAGCACCGUCUCCGAGGAACUUGUGCUCUCCACAACUUUAGAUGGAAAUAGAAAAAUUCCAGAAACCACCAUGAAUUUUGACCCAGACUGUUUUCUUAAUAACCCCAAGCAAGGGCAGACUUAUGGUGGAGGGGGUAUGAAAGGUGACAGCAUCAGUACCAACAUAAGGCAGUCACCCACCACAGAACGUAGCUUCAACUUCAAUACAACCCUCACGAAGGAAAUUAAAACAGAGGACACGUCUUUUGAACAACAGAUGUCCAAAGAAGCAUUUUCCUCCACUUCUGCAUCUAACACUCUCACCCUCACUACUGGUUCAGGUUUGCUUCCAUCUGGAGGGGGUCUGAGCCCAAGUACCACCUUGGAGCAGAUGGACUUCAGUGCCAUUGACUCCAACAAGGACUAUUCUUCCAGCUUCAAUCAGACAGUCCAGAGCCCUCACGUUCAUCAGACCCCUUCCCCCAGCUUCUUUCUGCAGGAUGCCAGCAAACCUCUUCCCCUUGAGCAAAACACCCACAACAACCUGAAUGACACAAGUGGCUCAUUUGUGAAUACAAUAGGAAUCCCCAGUGUGAAAACAGAGUCCCCAUCCCAAACCACUUCCAACUGCAAUGGCACGGUGGAAACCAGAAUAGAGUCCACCUCGUCUCUCCAGCUCAUGCAGUUCCAAGCAAAUUUCCAGGCUAUGACUGCAGAAGCUGAAGUUCCCAUGGAGACCUCCCAGCAGGCAGAAGGGAAUGAAAAUCUACUUAAAUCAGGGGAUCUUCAAGCCUGCAGCACAGAACACUACUUGCAACCUGAGACCAAUGGAGGUAUCAGGAAUGGGAACAAUCUCCCUAUUCUCCAAGGAAACAUGGUACAAGGACUCUAUCCUGUGGCCCAUCCCAGCUUAAAUAACUCCUCCAACAUGGAGCUUAACUUGGACCACUUUGACAUCUCCUUCAGCAACCAGUUUUCUGAUCUAAUUAAUGAUUUCAUAUCUGUGGAAGGUGGGAGCAAUGCCCUCUAUGGACACCAGUUGGUGUCAGGUGACAGUGCCGGACUCUCUCAGCCUGAAGACAGUAACAGAACAACCUACAACCAGGCUGAAAUGUGCAUUCCUUGCUGCAGUCCUCAGCAAGCCAACAUGCAGCUCAGCAGCACAGAGAAUGGAGCCAGCACGAUGGCAUACAUGCAUGUGGCUGAGGUGGUCUCGGCAGCUGCAGCACAAGGCACUUUGGGGUUGCUACAGCAGAGUGGGCGCUUGUUCAUGGUGACAGAUUAUUCACCAGAAUGGUCUUACCCUGAGGGAGGAGUGAAAGUUCUAAUCACUGGUCCAUGGCAAGAAGCCAGCAAUAAUUACAGCUGUCUGUUUGAUCAGAUCUCAGUGCCUGCAUCUUUAAUUCAGCCAGGAGUACUGCGCUGCUACUGCCCAGCUCAUGACACUGGGCUCGUGACUUUGCAAGUUGCCUUCAACAAUCAGAUCAUCUCCAAUUCUGUGGUGUUUGAAUACAAAGCCAGAGCUCUGCCAACCCUGCCUUCCUCCCAGCAUGACUGGCUGUCUUUGGAUGAUAACCAGUUCAGGAUGUCGAUACUGGAGCGUCUUGAGCAGAUGGAGAGGAGAAUGGCGGAAAUGACGGGCUCCCAGCAGCACAAGCAAGGAGUAGGAGGCGGGAGCAAUGGGAGUGGGAAUGGAGGAACACAGGUGCAGUGCGUUUCUGGGACUGGAACCUUGGGCAGCUGCUUUGAGAGCCGCGUGGUGGUGGUGUGUGAGAAGAUGAUGAGUCGUGCUUGCUGGGCAAAGUCCAAACACUUGAUCCAUUCAAAGACUUUCCGAGGAAUGACGCUGCUCCACCUAGCUGCUGCCCAGGGCUACGCUACGCUGAUCCAGACCCUCAUCAAAUGGCGCACCAAACACGCAGACAGCAUUGAUCUGGAGCUGGAAGUUGACCCUUUGAAUGUGGAUCAUUUCUCCUGCACCCCCCUGAUGUGGGCAUGUGCCCUGGGCCACAUGGAUGCAGCUGUUGUGCUGUAUAAGUGGGACCGCCGAGCCAUCUCUAUUCCUGACUCCCUUGGGAGGCUGCCGCUGGCAAUUGCCCGCUCUCGGGGCCACGUGAAGCUGGCAGAAUGCUUGGAGCAGCUGCAGCGUGAUGAGCAAACUCAGCUUGGACAGAACCCCAGAAUUCAGUGCCCCUCGAGCACCGACUCCAGCACAGAAAGCUGGGUGUCCCAGUGGCACAGUGAGCUUAUUGCCUCUCAAGAGCCUCAGAAGGGAGUCACUGUGAUUUCCAGUACCAACACGGAGCUGAGACGACCAAGAUCAGAACCUUCCAGUUACUACAGUAGUGAGACUCAGAAAGAUUACCCUGCACCCAAAAAACAUAAGCUGAGCCCUGAAUAUUUUCAAGCCCGGCAAGAGAAGCUGCUUUCCACUGCACUGAGCCUGGAACAGCCAAGUGUCAGGAAGCAGAACUCCAGCUCCAAGCAGUCCACCACUGAGACAAUCAGCCCCAGUGAAGGGAUAAGGGACUAUGGCCGGGAGCUCUCCCAGCACAUCCCAGAAGCAGCUGGAUACCGGGGCUCUGGCAGCCAAGCGGGCAUCAAAUGGAACCCAAAAGACAUUUAUAUUGGUGUGUCUGCAGUGCAGUUGGUGGGGAGCCAGAAGGGCGCUGCGCUGGGGAAGGACGCUGUGGGCCAUCGGCUUCGCCAGCGAGAGCAGAUGAAUGUGCUGAUGUUGGCUGACAGGGAGUUGGUGGAUGCAGAGCUCUUAUCCUAUAGGGACAGUGUAGGGGAUGAGGACUGCUUACGCCACAUGGAUGACUUGCAGGUGAACAUGAUGACACUUGCAGAGCACAUUAUUGAAGCUACGCCUGACAGGAUCAAGCGGGAGAAUUUUGUGCCAAUGGAGUCACCGCAGGUGGAGAGAGCAGAGAGUGCUGCCAUGAGCACCACGAUGAGCUGGCUGGCCAGUUACCUUGCUGAUGUCGAUCAUCUGCCGAGUGCUGCACAGAUAAGAAAUCUGUAUAGUGAACCCUUGACCCCUUCUUCAAACACCAGCUUGAGCCCUGCAGGCUCACCCAUCAGUGAAAUAGCUUUUGAGAAACCCAGCCUUCCUUCGGCAGCAGACUGGUCUGAAUUUCUGAGUGCAUCCACCAGCGAGAAGGUAGAAAAUGAGUUUGCACAGUUAACUCUGUCUGAUCAUGAGCAGAGAGAGCUCUAUGAAGCUGCCAAACUCGUCCAGACAGUCUUCAGGAAAUAUAAGGGUCGUCCACUCCGGGAACAGCAAGAGGUGGCUGCUGCUGUCAUUCAGCGUUGCUACCGAAAAUACAAACAGCUUACUUGGAUAGCCUUGAAGUAUGCACUUUAUAAAAAGAUGACGCAAGCUGCCAUUCUUAUCCAGAGCAAAUUCCGAAGCUAUUAUGAGCAGAAGAAAUUCCAGCAGAGCCGACGGGCCGCGAUGCUGAUCCAGCAGUACUACCGCAGCUACAAAGAAUGUGGGAAGAGGAGGCAGAACCGUCGGACGGCCACCAUUGUGCAGCAGAAACUCAGAAGCAGUCUGCUUACCAAGAAGCAGGACCAAGCUGCUCGCAAGAUUAUGCGGUUUUUACGACGCUGCCGCCACAGCCCACUGGUGGACCAUAGGCUGUACAAAAGGGUGAGUGUAGCUGCCUGCUAGCCAGUUCCUCUCUUCCAUUUUAAAUAUUUUUGCUUUCUGCUUGCUUGCAUGGGGCUGCAGCCAAGAUGCGCCAAGUGAAAGAAUUGAAAAAGGCCAAGGAACUUGAAGAUAAGCAGCAGCAUCCCGUAGCAAUGUGACAUUGCUUCUCAGACUGUUUUCAUUUUCUGUUUUUAGCAGAGACAUGCAACAACAACAAAAAUACCCACUGCAGUUCUGGAAAUACCAUCUGCAGGAUUUUAACAGUAAUGUUUUGGUCAUUGCAUUUGCACUUUCAUGGACAACAUUUAAUUUGUUCAGCAAGACAUCUUGGAACUCAAUCUUCUGUUGGAUCAUAGGAAUAAAAAAAAGACACCAGGAAGAAUUUGUGAGUUGCUUCAUUCUCCAAGAAGGAAGAAGCGAUUAAUUAUCCUUUUCAUAUAGGGCUGUAUUGAACAACAUGUGGAACUGUACAAAUAUUAUACCAAAAAUAUUGUUCAGAAAAGGUGGGAAUGCACAAGCAACACAAGAAUGGUGUUCCUGCACUUGUCGGUCAUCUCCAAGAAACUGAAGCUUUGAGAGUCUCAGUGGAGGGGCUUAGAUCAGUACGUCCUUAUUGGGUCCAUGCAUCCUCAUUUCCUUUGCACAUCUGUCCUUUGUGUUUUAUUUAAAUCUCUACAGCACACUUAAUGCAACUUUUUAAAUCUGCAGGUUUUUAAUACAUCCCGUGGGAACUUUGAGAAGGGGUUGGCAUGUGAGAUAAACGGGUAACGUGCAAGAAGCAGAGAGAGCAACUUAAGCAAGUUUUAAAAAGUUUCUUUUUGGUAUUUUUACUCUAGAACCUGCAAAAACGUAUCAGUUGCCAUGUAUUUUCUCUCAUAUUCAGCACUUUAUUUUCUAGCCUUACUUUCACGUACUGUUAUUUUAAUUAAGUUCUUACAAUAAUUUGCAAGACAUGUAGCUUUUUGUCGUAACUGUCAAACCUCUUGUCGUUUUGCAGAGUCACGUACAUUUGUUGCCUGGACAUUUUAUACCACCUAAAGAGCAGAGUGGUGCUGCAUUCUGGCCAGUAAAUUUCUUUUUUUGGCUCUUUCAUCAAAUCUGGGCAGUUUCUGUAUAUAUAGAAGGUAGAAAUGGAAAAUGAGAAAAAAAAUAUUUGAAAGGGAAUAUAUUGAUUAAUUACUAAAUAUUUUAUUCAUAAAGGGUCAAUAACUUGGCAAGAUAAAAUUAUUAUUUGUAUAGUUUUGUCUGAAUGAACGAGAAGAGUGUGGAUGUAUUGUUUGUACAUAUUGUAUAUAUUAAAACAAAGAGAUAUGUGCAUGAACUCAAGAAAAAGAAAUGAACAAAAGCAAAGCAUUAGUGGCUAUGGUCUGUAAAAUGAAACAAAAACUUUAUUUCACUAUAAGAAACUUUAUUUUAAAUGUUCUUUAGAAGAACAUUUUUGCUAAAGCAUGACUAAAUGGCAAAAAAGAGCUACUGUAUUUAGACUUAGGAAAAAAAGGCAGAGCAACAUUACUUUAAAAAAAAAAAAAAAAAAAGAAAGAAAAAAAAAAAAAGGAUAUGUUUACAUUUGAUUUUGGCUACCAGGAGUUCGGUUUGGUUGAAUUUCCGUUAUUUAUUCCUUCCUUCUUUUUGCCCCCCCGUCUUUUUUUUCCUUUUUAUUUUUUAUUUUUUUUUGCCAAUGGUGCCAAGUAAUGUGAAUGCUAAUAUUGCUUCAGAAACUUACGUUACUUUUGCAAAGCAGAUAAUCAUAAAAGUACAGAAAUGUAUCUAGCUUAACACCAUACACUCACUCCAAUAAAGAACACUUAGAAUGAAUAUAAAAUGAAGAAAAAAAAAAAAAAGAAA